rnacentral:rRNA from 1 species
UACGAAGGGGGCUAGCGUUGCUCGGAAUCACUGGGCGUAAAGCGCACGUAGGCGGAUUCCUAAGUCGGGGGUGAAAUCCUGGAGCUCAACUCCAGAACUGCCUUCGAUACUGGGAAUCUUGAGUCCGGAAGAGGUGAGUGGAACUGCGAGUGUAGAGGUGAAAUUCGCAGAUAUUCGCAAGAACACCAGUGGCGAAGGCGGCUCACUGGUCCGGUACUGACGCUGAGGUGCGAAAGCGUGGGGAGCAAACAGG